AAAAAUAGAAAAAUCCGAGACGGUAAAGGUCGGAGAUGCCCACUUGUCUUCUAGACUAAAAUUCCAUGGAACCUCAGCCAUGAACAAAUUUUGUUUACUCCAUUUUCGUGCAAAACGUACUUCUAACAGAGUCCGUUGCUACUCAAUCUCUCCAAAAACGCUGCUCUCCCUCUCUUCUUCAACGGGUCAGUCAACAGAUGAAGCCAAAAGACUUCUGAAAUUUUGAUUCUCCAAUUCUGAAGAACUGAUUUCUCAGAGCUUUGGUUUGAUUUUCAUAACGGCUCUUAUGGUCGUUUGAAUUUCAAAUUCCACCAAGAAAUUAAGCGCUAGAUUUUUCAUUAUAAAUAGUGGAGUUUUGAGGUCAUUAAGAAAGAGAAGGUUUUUAGCCGCUGCCUUCAACCUUCGAAACCAAGCUCUGAACCGCCGCUCACCCCCUCACAGCCGCCUCCCCUUUUCUCCUAAGCUCACUGAUUUUCCAACAAAAUAAAUAAAGCAAAGCUGUAGUUUGCUCUUCCUUUUUUCUCUGCUUUUUGUUGGUUUCAAAUCCUGAACAAAGGCGAUUUAUUUUAUACCGGCAUUUGACACCGAGGUAGCGAGUUCGAGGUCGGAGUUCGAUAGAGGAUCAAAGACCCCAACCCCGGUUCGCUGCCCGCAAAAAGGAGCAAAUAUGGAGUCUCUCUCCCUUACCCGAGCAUGGAGUCAUCGCAUGGUAUCCUCCAUAGAGUGCACCAAAUAUCUAGAAAACAAGCGAAACGCUUGGAGGCCCCUAUGGUGUCCUUCUAUUUUUUCUGUUAUCAUUCAUUUUAUGUAACUUCUUUUUAUGGUUGCUUAUUUAUUUGUGUGUUUGGGAUUUAUCUUACACUUAGCAUAAGAUUAACAAUUAAGUCUAUUUAAUCAUCCAA